AGUGAACGCUGGCGGCAGGCCUAACACAUGCAAGUCGAGCGAGCGGCGGACGGGUGAGUAAUGUCUGGGAAACUGCCUGAUGGAGGGGGAUAACUACUGGAAACGGUAGCUAAUACCGCAUACCAUCAGAUGGGCCAAGAUGGGAUUAGCUAGGAGGUUGGGUAACGGCUCACCUAGGCGACGAUCCCUAGCUGGUCUGAGAGGAUGACCAGCCAAACUGGACCUAGGACCCGGUCCCGACUCCUACGGGAGGCAGCAGUGGGGAAUAUUGCACAAGGGGCGCAAGCCUGAUGCAGCCAUGCCGCGUGUGUGAAGAAGGCCUUCGGGUUGGAAAGCACUUUCAGCGGGGAGGCGUUACCCGCAGAAGAAGCACCGGCUAACUCCGUGCCAGCCGCCGCGGUAAUAC
rnacentral:rRNA from 1 species